CGGACGGGUGAGUAACGCGUGGAUAACCUGCCGUAUGCAGGGGGAUACCAACUGGAAACAGUUGCUAAUACCGCGUAAGCGCACAGUACCGCAUGGUAUAGUGUGAAAAGAUUUAUCGGCAUACGAUGGAUCCGCGUCCGAUUAGCCAGUUGGCGGGGUAGAAGCCCACCAAAGCGACGAUCGGUAGCCGGCCUGAGAGGGCGGACGGCCACAUUGGGACUGAGACACGGCCCAAACUCCUACGGAAGGCAGCAG
rnacentral:rRNA from 1 species